rnacentral:rRNA from 1 species
ACGCUCGACACCUACGGAGGCAGCAGUCGGGAAUAUUGCGCAAUGGAGGAAACUCUGACGCAGUGACGCCGCGUAUGGGAAGAAGGUUUUCGGAUUGUAAACCAUUUUAGACAAGGAAGAAACAAGACAGUACUUGUAGAAUAAGCUCCGGCUAACUACGCGCCAGCAGCCGCGGUAAUCUGAGCGGGCUGGCAAGGC